rnacentral:rRNA from 1 species
GAUACCCGGGUAGUCCACGCCGUAAACGAUGGGUACUAGGUGUAGGGGCGCCAGCCUCUGUGCCGCAGUUAACACAUUAAGUACCCCGCCUGGGAAGUACGAUCGCAAGAUUAAAACUCAAAGGAAUUGACGGGGGCCCGCACAAGCAGCGGAGCAUGUGGUUUAAUUCGAAGCAACGCGAAGAACCUUACCAAGGCUUGACAUCCAGAGAAUCCUGUGGAAACACGGGAGUGCCCUUCGGGGAACUCUGAGACAGGUGGUGCAUGGCCGCCGUCAG